UAGCUGCUCCUGGUGGCCGCCCCAGUGCUUCCCCACGCUGCCCCAGUCCACCUGACACUCCCGGCAACCCCACUCCCGGGAGGGGACCUGCCCCCUGCCUCCUCCACGGCCCACGUGGCGGCCAGCCCGCCGCCGAGGACAUGGACUCAUCCACCUCCGCCACCAAGCGGCCACACACUCUUCUCUCCCGCUGUGCCGUGCCCACCAACACCUGACAUCAGCUGCUGCCUGCCUCACGCACCUCCCCUGCCCCCACCAGUGCCCCUCACGAGCCCGUCAUCUACUCCGCCACCUCGCCUCCUCCAAGGUGGCCAGUGCACUCCACACCUCCACCUUCCGGAAGGAGCUGUGAUGGCAGUGGCGGGCUUGGCGAGGGACGUGAGGCACCCUAGUGGAGGAGCACGAGGAGGAGGAGGAGGCAGCGGUGAAGGACGUGCCGGAGGUGGAGGCCUGGCUGAGGAGGCAAGUGACAGAGGAAGUCACCCACGCUGCAUCGUGAGGAACAGGGAAGAGUGAAGUCUUUGACACACUGCAUCGUGAGGAACAGAGGAGAGUGAAGAGUCUUUGACACACUGCAUCGUGAGGAACAGAGGAGAGUGAAGAGUCUUUGACACACUGCAUCAUGAGGAACAGAGGAGAGUGAAGAGUCUUUGACACACUGCAUCGUGAGGAACAGAGGAGAGUGAAGUUUUUGAAGGAGACCAGCCACCUGUACACAGGCUGGGUAAUGACGUGGCUGGGGACAGCACUCCACAUGGAACAAGAUUGUACUAUGUCCGAACUGAGAUUUCCACAGCACAUAACUAUGAAGGUGGGCAGGCAGCUACCACCCACCUUCAUGGCCCUGUGCUGUGGAUGUCUCGGUUCAAACAUAGUGCAGUCUUGCUUUAAGUGGAUUGCUGCCCCCAGCUGCGUCAAUAUCCUGCCUGUGUUGAAGAAGAUACAGGUGACUGGUCUCCUCCAAAGACAUUCUCCACUCUCCUCUGUUCCUCACAAUGCAGCAUGGGUGACCUGUGGACACUUCCAGGACAAACUGUUCUGCUAACCCUGAUGUGCUGAAGUACUCAACAGUGGCCCCUACCACAGAGUCUCAUCCUUAAACUCUUCUGCACUGUGAGGACAACCUUUCAUCUUGGAGGGGACUUUAUCUACAGGUCACCCAAGCUACACUUACAGGAGACGAGUCACUGGACAUCUGCAGCAGAGGGGCUGAGGAGGGUGGUGACCAAACAGAUGUCCAACAUGUACCAAGGCAGCAGCUGAAGAGGGGAGGAGGAAGAACAGUCAAGACACCUUGCCACCAAUGCUGGGCACUUCCGC